CAUUUUAGAAGCUUCGAGAGGCAGGAAGCAAUUCAUCGGAUAAAUUCGUUCCGCUGCGUCCAUGUAUUGUUUGCACUAUCUCUCUAUCAAUAGCUUCCUCCGAUCAGAUCAGAUACAUUAGGUCUACUUGCAUACUUGUGGAACUUUAUCAGGAAAAAUGUCAGCAUAUGAAAAUGUAGUUGUUGGAAAGUUGAAGCUAAAGGGCAAGGCUCUAGAUGUGAAGUCUGGAAGUGCCAAAAAGAAGAAGCACAAGAAGCUGCGUGAUCGUGAUCAUGUGUUCCAAGUCACACGGGAUGACCAAACAACAGUGCAAUGGAUACAAAGAAAAUGAAGAUGGAAACUGAAGAUUAUUAUAUCAUUUGCUUAUAAUGAUAUCAAACUGACCAAUAUUGAAGUUGCUUUCCAAGCUGGUGGAAGCGGUGGGUUGUCAGAUAAUCUGUAUGACAAGCACGACAGCCAUCUUACACCAGGGUUGUCAGAUAAUCUGUAUGACAAGCACGACAGCCAUCUUACACCAGCAGAGAGACGAUACCUUGAGCACUGGGAGAAAAUAAAUAUCCGAAGACUAGCAAAGGAAGCCAUGAAAUCCCAUCGUGAUCGAAUUCAAGAGUUCAAUCAGUACCUUGCUAACCUUAGUGAGCACUACGAUAUUCCCAAGGUUGGACCUGGUUAAUGCUACAUUGUAUGGUUCAAAACUUGGCAUUCUUGUUCUAAGUAGAAUAUGACUAUGACUGGAUGCAAGUUUAGUGAUUUGCUUUUUGUAAUUGGACAGUGCUUCAUGUUAUGGAGCUUUUGGUUUAGUUUAUAACCUGGGUUGCCACAAGAUUUUUUUAAGUUUCAUCCCGUGAGAGUUAUUUAUUUUUUGAGUUAUUACAAAAUUA